ACAGCAGCAGCCGCGGUAAUACGAAGGUCCCGAGCGUUGUUCGGAAUCACUGGGCGUAAAGGGAGCGUAGGCGGCGUGGUAAGUCAGAUGUGAAAUCCCGGGGCUCAACCCCGGAACUGCAUCCGAUACUGCCAUGCUAGAGGAUUGGAGAGGCAGCUGGAAUUCUUGGUGUAGCAGUGAAAUGCGUGGAGAUCAAGAGGAACACUCGUGGCGAAAGCGAGCUACUGGACAAUAACUGACGCUGAGGCUCGAAGGCCAGGGUAGCGAAAGGGAUUAGAUACCCGGGUAGUCCCUGUCUCUUAUAC
rnacentral:rRNA from 1 species